AUCCUAGAAUUAUGAUGCUAAAUAUUUUUAUAGCAUAGUAGGUGGAAGCACUACUUUUAAAAAUCAUAUUAAGGAUAUCCAAAAUAAUCUAAAAUUUUAAAAUAUUAUUCUUUCUAAUAUCAAUAAAUUUUUUGUAUCAAAUCAUAUUAUCUAUCAUAAUUUUUUAACUCAAAAAAUCAACAUUCCUGACUUAUUCAAAAUAAUCCAGAUCACCAUGCUUCCACUGCAUACUCUAUUCUAGCAAUCAAAAUUUUUUAGGUUCACCAAAAAAAAAUUUUGAUCAAAUUAUUUCUUUUAUCUUAUUAAUAGAAAAGAUCUAAAAUUUUAAAUUUCAAUUGAAGUCAAAUUUUUACUUCCUAUUCUCAUUCCUACUUUUGCUGGUAUAUAAUAAUCUUGAUUAACCCUUGAAUCCAAUAUCACAUUCAAAAACAUCAUAUAGGUUUACUAUAAUCAAUAUGAAUCAAAUCUUAAUUCUCAUAUCAAUUCAAUUCGAUAAUUACAAAUCAAAAUCUUUAUAAGUCAAAUCAACGAGAAAAUCCUUCGAUGCUCCACCAAAUUAAGACAAUCAAAAUAUAUACGAAUUUCAAAUCAUUAUUUUUUUCUAAAGUUUAUAAUAUCAGAAUCUUCAAUAUCUAUCAAGUAUCCUUUCAUAACAAUCAUACAAUUCUCAAAAAAAUCAAUUCUGUACUUAAUAGAUUCAAUCAGGGA
rnacentral:lncRNA from 1 species